UAGUCCACGCCGUAAACGAUGUCAACUAGCCGUUGGGAGCAUUUAAGCUCUGAGUGGCGCAGCUAACGCGAUAAGUUGACCGCCUGGGGAGUACGCCGGCAACGGUAAAACUCAAAGGAAUUGACGGGGGCCCGCACAAGCGGUGGAGCAUGUGGUUUAAUUCGAUGCAACGCGAAAAACCUUACCUACCCUUGACAUCAUUGGAACUUGUUAGAGAUAACUUGGUGCCUUCGGGAGCCAAUAGACAGGUGCUGCAUGGCUGUCGUCAGCUCGUGUCGCGAGAUGUUGGGUUAAGUCCUAUAACGAGCGCAACCCCUGCCGUUAGUUGCCAGCAUGUAAAGAUGGGGACUCUAACGGGACUGCCGGUGCAAACCGUGAGGAAGGUGGGGACGACGUCAAAUCAUCACGGGCCCUUACGUCCUGGGGCCACACACGU
rnacentral:rRNA from 1 species